rnacentral:misc_RNA from 1 species
AGAUGAAAAUGAAGAAAGUUAAGGAAAGUUUGUGGAUUUGCAAGAAAUGAUGUAGUCCAUGGUUAAUCAGCCAAUGCAUAUAAUAAGGUCUGGAAGAGAGCAUUACAUUGUCUAAGGGGAAGAACCAAAGUAUUCGCUCCCCCAACACACCACCACCGCCACCACCACCCAACAUCAACCACACCAAAACCCACCCUCCUCCGCCAACCAUUAUGCCUCCUAAAGCUCUGAU